CUACACAUGCAGUCGACGGCAGCACAGUAAGAGCUUGCUCUUAUGGGUGGCGAGUGGCGGACGGGUGAGGAAUACAUCGGAAUCUACCUUUUCGUGGGGGAUAACGUAGGGAAACUUACGCUAAUACCGCAUACGACCUUCGGGUGAAAGCAGGGGACCUUCGGGCCUUGCGCGGAUAGAUGAGCCGAUGUCGGAUUAGCUAGUUGGCGGGGUAAAGGCCCACCAAGGCGACGAUCCGUAGCUGGUCUGAGAGGAUGAUCAGCCACACUGGAACUGAGACACGGUCCAGACUCCUACGGGAGGCAGCAGUGGGGAAUAUUGGACAAUGGGCGCAAGCCUGAUCCAGCCAUACCGCGUGGGUGAAGAAGGCCUUCGGGUUGUAAAGCCCUUUUGUUGGGAAAGAAAAGCAAUCGAUUAAUACCCGGUUGUUCUGACGGUACCCAAAGAAUAAGCACCGGCUAACUUCGUGCCAGCAGCCGCGGUAAUACGAAGGGUGCAAGCGUUACUCGGAAUUACUGGGCGUAAAGCGUGCGUGGGUGGUUGUUUAAGUCUGUUGUG
rnacentral:rRNA from 1 species